rnacentral:lncRNA from 1 species
UUUGUAGAAAGGGUCUUUGGUGACCAUUAUAACUCCCAAGAGAAUCUGAGGUGAGGAAAGAAUAUCAUUUAAGCAGAGUUUUCCUUCAAGGCGUGAAAUAACUGGUUUUUGCUAUUCAGGGCACUAACUACUCCAGUCCUUGUCACUUCAACUUUGGCCAGUUGCUGAUUAACUCCUCAGAGAAAUACCUAGAAGUGGAAUUGAUACAUAGACUCAAAUGUCCACCAAAAAGAUGGUACUAAUUUUCAGCAUCCCAUCAACAGUAUAUAAAUAUGACAGGUUCUCAACACAUGAAAACAAAAUUUGAAACAUUUUAACAUGUACUAAUGUAGUAGGUCAAAAAAACCUUAUUGCCAUUUUAAGUUGGAUUUUCUAUUUCUUCAGUUUUAAUUGACUGUAAAUACAUUUUUGUAUGCUUAUUGUUCAUUUUUGUAUUUUUC